AUGGAAAAAGCAAGAGAGUUCCAAGAAAACAUCUAUUUCCGCUUUAUUGACUAUGCCAAAGCCUUUGACUGUGUGGAUCACAGUAAACUGUGGAAAAUUCUGAAAGAGAUGGGAAUACCAGACCACCUGACCUGCCUCUUGAGAAAUCUGUAUGCAGGUCAGGAAGCAACGGUUAGAACUGGACAUGGAACAACAGACUGGUUCCAAAUAGGAAAAGGAGUACGUCAAGGCUGUAUAUUGUCAUCCUGUUUAUUUAACUUCUGUGCAGAGUACAUCAUGAGAAAUGCUGGGCUGGAAGAAGCACAAGCUGGAAUCAAGACUGCCGGGAGAAAUAUCAAUAACCUCAGAUAUGCAGAUGACACCACCCUUAUGGCAGAAAGUGAAGAGGAACUAAAAAGCCUCUUGAUGAAAGUGAAAGAGGAGAGCGAAAAAGUUGGCUUAAAGCUCAACCUUCAGAAAACGAAGAUCAUGGCAUCCGGUCCCAUCACUUCAUGGGAAAUAGAUGGGGAAACAGUGGAAACAGUGUCAGACUUUAUUUUUUUAGCCUCCAAAAUCACUGCAGAUGGUGACUGCAGCCAUGAAAUUAAAAGACGCUUACUCCUUGGAAGAAAAGUUAUGACCAACCUAGAUAGUAUAUUCAAAAGCAGAGACAUUGCUUUGCCGACUAAGGUCUGUCUAGUCAAGGCUAUGGUUUUUCCUGUGGUCAUGUAUGGAUGUGAGAGUUGGACUGUGAAGAAGGCUGAGCACCAAAGAAUUGAUGCUUUUGACCUGUGGUGUUGGAGAAGACUCUGGAGAGUCCCUUGGACUGCAAGGAGAUCCAACCAGUCCAUUCUGAAGGAGAUCAGCCCUGGGAUUUCUUUGGAAGGAAUGAUGCUGAAGCUGAAACUCCAGUACUUUGGCCACCUCAUGCGAAGAGUUGACUCAUUGGAGAAGACUCUGAUGCUGGGAGGGAUUGGGGGCAGAAGGAGAAGGGGACGACCGAGGAUGAGAUGGCUGGAUGGCAUCACGGACUCGAUGGACGUGAGUCUGAGUGAACUCCGGGAGUUGGUGAUGGACAGGGAGGCCUGGCGAGCUGUGAUUCAUGGGGUCGCAAAGAGUCAGACACGACUGAGCAACUGA
rnacentral:lncRNA from 1 species